rnacentral:rRNA from 1 species
GAUGAACGCUGGCGGCGUGCCUAAUACAUGCAAGUCGAGCGAACAGAUAAGGAGCUUGCUCCUUUGACGUUAGCGGCGGACGGGUGAGUAACACGUGGGUAACCUACCUAUAAGACUGGGAUAACUUCGGGAAACCGGAGCUAAUACCGGAUAACAUUUGGAACCGCAUGGUUCUAAAGUGAAAGAUGGUUUUGCCAUCACUUAUAGAUGGACCCGCGCCGUAUUAGCUAGUUGGUAAGGUAACGGCUUACCAAGGCGACGAUACGUAGCCGACCUGAGAGGGUGAUCGGCCACACUGGAACUGAGACACGGUCCAGACUCCUACGGGAGGCAGCAGUAGGGAAUCUUCCGCAGUGGGCGAAAGCCUGACGGAGCAACGCCGCGUGAGUGAUGAAGGGUUUCGGCUCGUAAAACUCUGUUAUUAGGGAAGAACAAACGUGUAAGUAACUGUGCACGUCUUGACGGUACCUAAUCAGAAAGCCACGGCUAACUACGUGCCAGCAGCCGCGGUAAUACGUAGGUGGCAAGCGUUAUCCGGAAUUAUUGGGCGUAGAGCGCGCGUAGGCGGUUUCUUAAGUCUGAUGUGAAAGCCCACGGCUCAACCGUGGAGGGUCAUUGGAAACUGGGAAACUUGAGUGCAGAAGAGGAAAGUGGAAUUCCAUGUGUAGCGGUGAAAUGCGCAGAGAUAUGGAGGAACACCAGUGGCGAAGGCGACUUUCUGGUCUGUAACUGACGCUGAUGUGCGAAAGCGUGGGGAUCAAACAGGAUUAGAUACCCUGGUAGUCCACGCCGUAAACGAUGAGUGCUAAGUGUUAGGGGGUUUCCGCCCCUUAGUGCUGCAGCUAACGCAUUAAGCACUCCGCCUGGGGAGUACGACCGCAAGGUUGAAACUCAAAGGAAUUGACGGGGACCCGCACAAGCGGUGGAGCAUGUGGUUUAAUUCGAAGCAACGCGAAGAACCUUACCAAAUCUUGACAUCCUUUGAAAACUCUAGAGAUAGAGCCUUCCCCUUCGGGGGACAAAGUGACAGGUGGUGCAUGGUUGUCGUCAGCUCGUGUCGUGAGAUGUUGGGUUAAGUCCCGCAACGAGCGCAACCCUUAAGCUUAGUUGCCAUCAUUAAGUUGGGCACUCUAGGUUGACUGCCGGUGACAAACCGGAGGAAGGUGGGGAUGACGUCAAAUCAUCAUGCCCCUUAUGAUUUGGGCUACACACGUGCUACAAUGGACAAUACAAAGGGCAGCUAAACCGCGAGGUCAUGCAAAUCCCAUAAAGUUGUUCUCAGUUCGGAUUGUAGUCUGCAACUCGACUACAUGAAGCUGGAAUCGCUAGUAAUCGUAGAUCAGCAUGCUACGGUGAAUACGUUCCCGGGUCU